AACGAACGCUGGCGGCGUGCUUAACACAUGCAAGUCGAACGCGAAAGGGACUUCGGUCCUGAGUAAAGUGGCGCACGGGUGAGUAACGCAUAGAUAACCUGUCUUCAUGUCUGGAAUAAUACGCCGAAAGGGGUACUAAUACCGGAUAUUCUUGCUUUUCAUAAGUUAUGCAAGCAAAGGUGGCCUCUGCAUAUGCUACUGCAUGAAGAGGGGUCUGCGUACCAUUAGCUAGUAGGUGGGGUAAUGGCCUACCUAGGCGACGAUGGUUAGCGGGUCUGAGAGGAUGAUCCGCCACACUGGCACUGGAACACGGGCCAGACUCCUACGGGAGGCAGCAGUGAGGAAUAUUGCGCAAUGGGGGAAACCCUGACGCAGCGACGCCGCGUGAGUGAAGGAAGGCCUUCGGGUCGUAAAGCUCUGUCAAGAGGAAAGAAGUGUACAAUGGCUAAUACCUGUUGUAUUUGACGGUACCUCUAAAGGAAGCACCGGCUAACUCCGUGCCAGCCGCUGC
rnacentral:rRNA from 1 species